GACGAACGCUGGCGGCGUGCCUAAUACAUGCAAGUAGAAUGCUGAAGAGAGGAGCUUGCUCUUCUUGGAUGAGUUGCGAACGGGUGAGUAACGCGUAGGUAACCUGCCUUGUAGCGGGGGAUAACUAUUGGAAACGAUAGCUAAUACCGCAUAACAAUGGAUGACACAUGUCAUUUAUUUGAAAGGGGCAAUUGCUCCACUACAAGAUGGACCUGCGUUGUAUUAGCUAGUAGGUGAGGUAAUGGCUCACCUAGGCGACGAUACAUAGCCGACCUGAGAGGGUGAUCGGCCACACUGGGACUGAGACACGGCCCAGACUCCUACGGGAGGCAGCAGUAGGGAAUCUUCGGCAAUGGGGGCAACCCUGACCGAGCAACGCCGCGUGAGUGAAGAAGGUUUUCGGAUCGUAAAGCUCUGUUGUAAGUCAAGAACGGGUGUGAGAGUGGAAAGUUCACACUGUGACGGUAGCUUACCAGAAAGGGACGGCUAACUACGUG
rnacentral:rRNA from 1 species